rnacentral:rRNA from 1 species
UAGAGUUGAUCAUGGCUCAGAUUGAACGCUGGCGGCAGGCCUAACACAUGCAAGUCGAGCGGAUGACAGGAGCUUGCUCCUGAAUUCAGCGGCGGACGGGUGAGUAAUGCCUAGGAAUCUGCCUGGUAGUGGGGGACAACGUUUCGAAAGGAACGCUAAUACCGCAUACGUCCUACGGGAGAAAGCAGGGGACCUUCGGGCCUUGCGCUAUCAGAUGAGCCUAGGUCGGAUUAGCUAGUUGGUGAGGUAAUGGCUCACCAAGGCGACGAUCCGUAACUGGUCUGAGAGGAUGAUCAGUCACACUGGAACUGAGACACGGUCCAGACUCCUACGGGAGGCAGCAGUGGGGAAUAUUGGACAAUGGGCGAAAGCCUGAUCCAGCCAUGCCGCGUGUGUGAAGAAGGUCUUCGGAUUGUAAAGCACUUUAAGUUGGGAGGAAGGGCAUUAACCUAAUACGUUAGUGUUUGACGUUACCGACAGAAUAAGCA